rnacentral:rRNA from 1 species
UACGUAGGGACCAAGCGUUGUUCGGAUUUACUGGGCGUAAAGGGCGCGUAGGCGGCUUGACAAGUCACUUGUGGAAUCUCUAGGCUUAACCCAGAACGGCCAAGUGAUACUGUCGUGCUAGAGUGCAGAAGGGGCAAUCGGAAUUCUUGGUGUAGCGGUGAAAUGCGUAGAUAUCAAGAGGAACACCUGAGGUGAAGACGGGUUGCUGGGCUGACACUGACGCUGAGGCGCGAAAGCCAGGGGAGCAAACGGG